UACGUAGGGGGCGAGCGUUGUCCGGAUUCAUUGGGCGUAAAGCGCGCGUAGGCGGCUCGACAAGUCGGCCGUGAAAUCUCCAGGCUCAACUUGGAGGGGUCGGGCGAGACUGUCGGGCUCGAGGUGGGCAGAGGGCAGUGGAAUUCCGGGUGUAGUGGUGGAAUGCGUAGAGAUCCGGAGGAACACCAGUGGCGAAGGCGGCUGCCUGGGCCUGGCCUGACGCUGAGGCGCGAAAGCUAGGGUAGCAAACGGG
rnacentral:rRNA from 1 species